GUAAAUUAAAUAUAACUUAGAUUUAUGGUGAAUGUUCUAAUCCAUCUGGGAUAUUGCACUUGAUAUAAAGGCUAAAUAAACAGGAAACAAAAAUCUACGUACAGAUAAACUGGGGUCAAACAAUUUAUUACGCACUUCUUUCUGAUUUCCUGUAGGGUGUUUUAGAGGAGAAUGAAGCUUUAAAGAGACACUUGACAUUUG